AUUGAACGCUGGCGGCAGGCCUAACACAUGCAAGUCGAGCGGAUGAAGGGAGCUUGCUCCUGGAUUCAGCGGUGGACGGGUGAGUAAUGCCUAGGAAUCUGCCUGGUAGUGGGGGAUAACGUCCGGAAACGGGCGCUAAUACCGCAUACGUCCUGAGGGAGAAAGUGGGGGAUCUUCGGACCUCACGCUAUCAGAUGAGCCUAGGUCGGAUUAGCUAGUUGGUGGGGUAAAGGCCUACCAAGGCGACGAUCCGUAACUGGUCUGAGAGGAUGAUCAGUCACACUGGAACUGAGACACGGUCCAGACUCCUACGGGAGGCAGCAGUGGGGAAUAUUGGACAAUGGGCGAAAGCCUGAUCCAGCCGUGCCGCGUGUGUGAAGAAGGUCUUCGGAUUGUAAAGCACUUUAAGUUGGGAGGAAGGGCAGUAAGUUAAUACCUUGCUGUUUUGACGUUACCAACAGAAUAAGCACCGGCUAACUUCGUG
rnacentral:rRNA from 1 species